rnacentral:lncRNA from 10 species
GAGUGCCUAACGUGUACAGUAGGUGUUCAGUAGUCAUGAUGGACCAAGGCUAUGAUAGAGGGUGCCAUGGAGGCACAAAGGAGGGUGAGAUCAAUCUAACAAGGGAACCGAAGGGAGAGGGAAAUCUUCACAGGUGAUGUCACUGUACUGACUAAACUAGGAAACAUGAACUUCCAAAAGCCUGCCCAAAUUCAGAAAUUCAGCAAAAAAAAAAAA